AAGUAGAGAAAACUUUGAGAGGAACAAGUUAGAAUUAGGGAUGAUUAAGAUCACCUAAGAGGUCAUGUUCAGAAUGCACAAUGAAAAAAAAUGAUUUUUUUUGGUCGGGAGUUAUUAAUUCUUGUGAAUAUUAGAUUAAUUUCUACUCAGUCUCAUACUGUAAAUAGUACACUCAUGUACAUGUGUUUAUGUGACUCACUCAUCUCUUACAAAUUCUCUAUUCUUACAUUUGAGGCAUAAUCAAGAGAAGUUUCAUUUGAAGAACCUGGUUCAUCAAUGCAUGCUCAUGAGAAAGGUAAGGUAUGUUUCUAUACUUUGCAAAAUAGAAAAUUUUAAUUUUCAAUCAUGAGCAAGAGUCCUAGAAAACCCAAUCAUCUCAAAAAUUCUAUCCAUUUGGGCUAAUUGAACCAGUUUCAUUGAAGUUAGAAUUCUAAGUGUAACGGAACUCUAUCUGCUAAACCUUAGCCAUUCUAAUUAAUCCUAAUAGAUAACUAGGGAGACCAGAACUAUAAGUUGAUUAGACCUUUGCUGACACCUAAAAGCUGCCGUUCC
rnacentral:lncRNA from 1 species